rnacentral:rRNA from 1 species
UAGGGAAUAUUGCAAAAUGGGCGACAGCCCGAUGCAGCAACGCCGCGUGGGCGAUGAAGGCCUUCGGGUCGUAAAGCCCUUUUUGAGGGGAUGAGGAAGGACAGUACCCUCAGAAUAAGCCUCGGCUAACUACGUGCCAGCAGCCGCGGUAAAACGUAGGAGGCGAGCGUUAUCCGGAUUUACUGGGCGUAAAGCGCGUGCAGGCGGAUUGGAGAGUUGGAUGUGAAAGCUCCCGGCUUAACUGGGAGAGGUCGUUCAAUACUUCCAGUCUUGAGUGCAGUAGAGGGAAGUGGAAUUCCGGUUGUAGUGGUGAAAUGCGUAGAUAUCCGGAGGAACACCAGUGGCGAAAGCGGCUUCCUGGACUGUAACUGACGCUCAGACGCGAAAGCUAGGGUAGCA